rnacentral:rRNA from 1 species
AUGAUGUACGGGCAUGGGAUUGAGGGGUUGGGUUUCUUCCACCUCGAGGUCCCGGAUGCCCCUCCGCCGUCUCCAUCCCUCCAGGCGAUUGUCACGGUCGUCGAUGGCGUGGCGUCCCCUGAGAUGCUCGAGGCGGAGCUCAACCACCUCUACCGACACCAGUGGGACUGGGUGGUCACCCCCUCCGCUGCAAUCUAUCCCCCUUGGCAACCUUGCCAAAGUGCCUCCGACUCUGCCAUCAUUUUCAGGGGGGAGGUCGGCCCCCCUUUAGUUCAGAUCGCUGCCAUUCGGGCACGCGAGAUCCUUGAGGGGAAGCUUGCCGAGGUCCGGGCUGCUCUCGACGCACCUACGGACGGGGUACCUCCCUCUUCCUCCGGGCCGCAGCGUCAGGCCCCUCCUCCCCCGGCCGUGAUCCGCGGCCGCACCCGCUCCCGCACUGCCGCUCUCCGCGCCCAGAGCGCCUCCCGAGUCCUGGGGUCAAGCAGCCCCCCGAUGGCUCCAUAA